rnacentral:rRNA from 1 species
UGGGGAAUAUUGGACAAUGGGCGAAAGCCUGAUCCAGCCAUGCCGCGUGAGUGACGAAGGCCUUAGGGUUGUAAAACUCUUUCGUCGGGGACGAUAAUGACGGUACCCGAAGAAGAAGCUCCGGCUAACUUCGUGCCAGCAGCCGCGGUAAUACGAAGGGAGCUAGCGUUGUUCGGAAUCACUGGGCGUAAAGCGCACGUAGGCGGAUAGUUAAGUCAGGGGUGAAAUCCUGGGGCUCAACCCCAGAACUGCCUUUGAUACUGGCUGUCUCGAGGUCGAGAGAGGUUGGUGGAAUUCCUAGUGUAGAGGUGAAAUUCGUAGAUAUUAGGAAGAACACCAGUGGCGAAGGCGGCCAACUGGCUCGAUACUGACGCUGAGGUGCGAAAGCGUGGGGAGCAAACAGGAUUAGAUACCCUUGUAGUCCCUGAGCGGGCUGGCAAGGCG